CGCGAAGAACCUUACCCACGUUUGACAUGUCUAGUAUGGUCGUCAGAGAUGACUUCCUUCAGUUCGGCUGGCUAGAACACAGGUGCUGCAUGGCUGUCGUCAGCUCGUGUUGUGAGAUGUUGGGUUAAGUCCCGCAACGAGCGCAACCCUCGCUAUUAGUUGCCAUCAGGUUAAGCUGGGCACUCUAAUGGAACUGCCGGUGGCAAGCCGGAGGAAGGUGGGGAUGACGUCAAGUCCUCAUGGCCCUUACGCGUGGGGCUACACACGUGCUACAAUGGUGGUGACAGAGGGAUAAUCCCUAAAAGCCAUCUCAGUUCGGAUUGUCCUCUGCAACUCGAGGGCAUGAAGUUGGAAUCGCUAGUAAUCGCGGAUCAGCAUGCCGCGGUGAAUACGUUCCCGGGCCUUGUACACACCG
rnacentral:rRNA from 1 species